UAAAAUGAGGUUUAAGAAAACAAUAAAGGAACGAUCUAGAGAAGAUUAACAUGACCUCUGUACAAAAAUGAUAUGAACGAAUCAUAGAAAUGGUCCAAAUGUUU